rnacentral:rRNA from 1 species
CCUACGGGGGGCAGCAGUGGGGAAUAUUGCACAAUGGGCGCAAGCCUGAUGCAGCCAUGCCGCGUGUGUGAAGAAGGCCUUCGGGUUGUAAAGCACUUUCAGCGGGGAGGAAGGCGGUGAGGUUAAUAACCUCAUCGAUUGACGUUACCCGCAGAAGAAGCACCGGCUAACUCCGUGCCAGCAGCCGCGGUAAUACGGAGGGUGCAAGCGUUAAUCGGAAUUACUGGGCGUAAAGCGCACGCAGGCGGUCUGUCAAGUCGGAUGUGAAAUCCCCGGGCUCAACCUGGGAACUGCAUUCGAAACUGGCAGGCUAGAGUCUUGUAGAGGGGGGUAGAAUUCCAGGUGUAGCGGUGAAAUGCGUAGAGAUCUGGAGGAAUACCGGUGGCGAAGGUGGCCCCCUGGACAAAGACUGACGCUCAGGUGCGAAAGCGUGGGGAGCAAACAGGAUUAGAUACCCCGGUAGUC